AUUGAACGCUGGCGGCAUGCUUUACACAUGCAAGUCGGACGGCAGCGGGGGUGCUUGCACCUGCCGGCGAGUGGCGAACGGGUGAGUAAUAUAUUGGAACGUACCGAGUAGUGGGGGAUAACUAAGCGAAAGUUUAGCUAAUACCGCAUACGACCUGAGGGUGAAAGCGGGGGACGGGAGACUGCCUCGCGCUAUUUGAGCGGCCAAUAACUGAUUAGCUAGUUGGUGGGGUAAAGGCCUACCAAGGCGAUGAUCAGUAGCGGGUCUGAGAGGAUGAUCCGCCACACUGGGACUGAGAGACGGCCCAGACUCCUACGGGAGGCAGCAGUGGGGAAUUUUGGACAAUGGGGGCAACCCUGAUCCAGCCAUGCCGCGUGUCUGAAGAAGGCCUUCGGGUUGUAAAGGACUUUUGUUAGGGAAGAAAAGGGAAGUGCUAAUAUCACUUUUUGCUGACGGUACCUAAAGAAUAAGCACCGGCUAACUACGUGCCAGCAGCCGCGGUAAUACGUAGGGUGCGAGCGUUAAUCGGAAUUACUGGGCGUAAAGCGAGCGCAGACGGUUAUUUAAGUCAGAUGUGAAAUCCCCGAGCUUAACUUGGGAACUGCGUUUGAAACUGGGUAACUAGAGUAUGUCAGAGGGGGGUAGAAUUCCCCGUGUAGCCUUGAAAUGCGUAUAGAUGCUAGAGGAAUCCGUUGGCUCCAGCCGCUCUUUUUGCGUAUAACCUCUGUUUCUUUUUACUUUGUCUUUCCACCUCCGCUCU
rnacentral:rRNA from 1 species